GACCUUGUAGCUUAGUUGGUAAAGCGUCUUCAUGUUGUAUGACGAGAUACAUUGUUGUAUCGUGAGGAUUAUCGUGGGUUCGAGCCCCACCAAGGUCU